GAGGGUAUAGCUCAGUGGUAGAGCACGUGCAUAGCAUGCACAGGGUCCUGGGUUCAACCCCCAGGAUCUACA
rnacentral:tRNA from 1 species